ACUUAAAUAGUUUAAUUAAAAUAUUGAUUUGUGAUAUCAAUGAUGCAUUAUUUUUUUUAAGUU
rnacentral:tRNA from 1 species